rnacentral:sRNA from 1 species
GCCAGUGCUGAGCCCCACGGUGACGCUGUUGAUCCAGUCGUCACGGUCGCGCACGGUGACCAUGCCACUCUCGAUCCCGGGCUCCCGGCAUAGAGCAGGCCGAUGACCCUGAGCGUGUUCCCCAUGCAGUGGCCCUGCCGCAUGAGUUGAGGAUGCGGUUCACCCGGAUCUUAGCGGUGUCCCGGGCUCGGCGUUGCGGGCGGCGUCGCGGAGGUCGACGGCGGCGCCCGAGAGUUAGCCUAUGCUGGUGUAGUAGGUGAGGUUCUCACCCCAUGAGCAGCGCUGGGCGAGCGACUCCUGGAAGAGGAACUCCAGGGAGGUGGGGAGGUCAUAGAGCUGCUUGUAGGGGAUAUUGAGGUCCUGGUAGGGGUUGUUCAGCCG